AGCAAAACAACUUCCCCUUACUGCUAUCUCAUGUGUAUCAUCCUCGUGCCGAAGAAAACGUGCCUUUUUCAUGGGGUUCUAACAACGGAGGUACUGAUGUGUGGAAUUAUGAUUUGGAAAAUAUAAGUAUAUCUUGCUGUAUUUGCGGGUUCUCGUGCCCAUCUCGUUCUUUAUGGCAAGUAAUCCACCACUCCAAAACUUCCUAUCACAUCAAUAACUUAAAAGUCUUCCAGAAACACAAGAUUCAAGGAGACGAAGGAUAAUUAAACAGUUCAUAGUUCAAUUUGGAUGUAGCAAAGUUAUUUGUGUCGUCUAACAUCCUUUUAAAUAUUCUGGAUCAUCUCAAAGAGAGUAUUUACUGCUUCCUACGAAAUUUCCCUCCCUCCAUCACCAAUUAUAAUAAGAUAGAAAACUUGGGUAAAAGCAGUGGAGUACUACUACUAUCCUUUCGACGUCUUCACAGAAUAUUUACACAGCCGUGAUGAAGAUUUGGCAGCAACCAGAAGAGCACAAGAAGUAAUUAAUAACUAUUCCUUAAUAGAAGAAAUCGUAUUUAUACUGGAAAAUACCAUUUGGAAUAACUGCACUUGAGGAAAGAUUGCCUCUUCAUACCAGCACAACCAUAGUAGAAAAUUUGAUUCAAGAUUUGAAGGAAGAGCUAUUCAAGACCAGGUUAAAAGAAGUGCUUCAAAAGAAUCCUGGCUACACAAAACUAAAGGAACUCUCAACAAGUGAUAACUUGUAUACAAAAAUAUUGUUAAUUGUGAUGCUGAGAGAGUCUUUAGUAUGAUGAAUAUCAUCAAUACGAAAAGGAGGUACCAACUAAGUACUAAGAAAUUGAGGGAAUUGUUGAUCACCAAAGGGAAUUAAUGUUCCGUUAUCAUUUAAUUGUCAACACAUUUCGUGCCAAACUUAUCUAUUAAUACUUUAUGGCCAGUGGUCACUAAAAACUUACGAGUACACUUCCCGUAAUGAUGGAUUUGAUGUACUCAAACGAACAAUAUAUUUUGUCUUGGAUAAAUUUGUAGAAUAUAAUAUACAUUUAUAAAGUUAUUUAUAGGGAAGUUAUGUAUUAAUAGUAUACAACAAUCCCUCUUCCUUCAUGUGUAAGUAAAUAAAUAAUUUAAAUUAAA
rnacentral:lncRNA from 1 species